UCCGAGACUUAGACCAUGUCACCUAUUGCCUUAGUGUGCUAAAGUCCUCGGAGAGCAACAGCCGACCUUAUUCACGGACUCCGGCCCCUCUAUGGCAUAGUCAGUCACCAGGUUAGUGACACGC